GUUAUAGCUGUAAAACUGAAAUAAGGUUAAGUAUGCUGACUGGAAUCAAGUUGUGUUAUAGCUGUAAAACUGAAAUAAAGUAAAGUAUGCUGACUGGAACUAAGUUGUGUUAUAACUGGAAAACUGAAAUAAGGUUAAGUAUGCUGACUGGAACUAAGUUGUGUUAUAGCUGUAAAACUGAAAUAAAGUAAAGUAUACAGACUGGAACUAAGUUGUGUUAUAGCUGUAAAACUGAAAUAAAGUUAAGUAUGCUAACUGGAACUAAGUUGUGUUAUAGCUGUAAAACUGAAAUAAGGAUAAGUAUGCAGACUGGAACUAAGUUGUGUUAUAGCCGUAAAACUGAAAUAAAGUAAAGUAUGCAGACUGGAAUCAAGUUGUGUUAUAGCUGGAAAACUGAAAUAAGGUUAAAUAUGCAGACUGGAAUCAAGUUGUGUUAUAGCUGUAAAACUGAAAUAAGGAUAAGUGUGCAGACUGGAACUAAGUUGUGUUAUAGCUGGAAAACUGAAAUAAGGUUAAGUAUGCAGACUGGAAUCAAGUUGUGUUAUAGCUGGAAAACUGAAAUAAGGUUAAGUAUGCAGACUGGAAUCAAGUUGUGUUAUAUAACUGGAAAACUGAAAUAAGGUUAAGUAUGCUGACUGGAACUAAGUUGUGUUAUAGCUGUAAAACUGAAAUAAAGUAAAGUAUACAGACUGGAACUAGAUUGUGUUAUAGCUGUAAAACUGAAAUAAGGUUAAGUAUGCUGACUGGAACUAAGUUGUGUUAUAGCUGUAAAACUGAAAUAAAGUAAAGUAUGCAGACUGGAAUCAAAUUGUGUUAUAACUGGAAAACUGAAACAAGGUUAAGUAUGCUGACUGGAAUCAAGCUGUGUUAUAUAACUGGAAAACUGAAAUAAGGUUAAGUAUGCUGACUGGAACUAAGUUGUGUUAUAGCUGGAAAACUGAAAUAAGGAUAAGUAUGCAGACUGGAACUAAGUUGUGUUAUAGCUGUAAAACUGAAAUAAGGUUAAGUAUGCUGACUGGAACUAAGUUGUGUUAUAGCUGUAAAACUGAAAUAAGGUUAAGUAUGCUGACUGGAAUCAAGUUGUGUUAUAUAACUGGAAAACUGAAAUAAGGUUAAGUAUGCUGACUGGAACUAAGUUGUGUUAUAGCUGUAAAACUGAAAUAAGGUUAAGUAUGCUGACUGGAACUAAGUUGUGUUAUAGCUGGAAAACUGAAAUAAAGUUAAGUAUGCAGACUGGAAUCAAGUUGUGUUAUAUAACUGGAAACUGAAAUAAGGUUAAGUAUGCUGACUGGAACUAAGUUGUGUUAUAACUGGAAAACUGAAAUAAGGUUAAGUAUGCAGACUGGAACUAAGUUGUGUUAUAACUGGAAAACUGAAAUAAGGUUAAGUAUGCAGACUGGAACCAAGUUGUGUUAUAGCUGGAUUUCUACUGAAAGAAAAGCAACAACAGCUGACAUAAAAGUGGUUUAAGAUAAUAAAAACUUUUAUAAACAGAAAACAAAAAUUGUAACAAGAACAAUGAACUAUAAGAUUUAA